UCCGUAGGCGGCAGGGUCAGUCAGAGGUGAAAUCCCCCGGCUCAACCGAGGAAUUGCCUUUGAUACUGCCUUGCUCGAGGACUGGAGGGGAGAGCGGAAGUCUCGGUGUAACGGUGAAAUGUGCAGAUAUCGAGGCGAAGGCCGGUGGCGAAGGCGGCUCUCUGGACAGUAUCUGACGCUGAGGGACGAAAGCACGGGGAGCAAACAGGAUUAGAUACCCUGGUAGUCC
rnacentral:rRNA from 1 species